AGGGGUUUAGUUUAUUCACAUAAAACUGUUCGAUUGCACCGAAUCAAAGUCACUGAAUUGUGACAACCCUUA
rnacentral:tRNA from 1 species